rnacentral:rRNA from 4 species
GCAACGAGCGCAACCCUUAUCCUUUGUUGCCAGCGAUUAGGUCGGGAACUCAAAGGAGACUGCCAGUGAUAAACUGGAGGAAGGUGGGGAUGACGUCAAGUCAUCAUGGCCCUUACGACCAGGGCUACACACGUGCUACAAUGGCGCAUACAAAGAGAAGCGACCUCGCGAGAGCAAGCGGACCUCAUAAAGUGCGUCGUAGUCCGGAUUGGAGUCUGCAACUCGACUCCAUGAAGUCGGAAUCGCUAGUAAUCGUGGAUCAGAAUGCCACGGUGAAUACGUUCCCGGGCCUUGUACACACCGCCCGUCACACCAUGGGAGUGGGUUGCAAAAGAAGUAGGUAGCUUAACCUUCGGGAGGGCGCUUACCACUUUGUGAUUCAUGACUGGGGUGAAGUCGUAACAAGGUAACCGUAGGGGAACCUGCGGUUGGA